rnacentral:rRNA from 1 species
AUGGCCGCGGCGGCGAAUCCUAGGGUCACGGGCGCACCUCCCGCGCCCCUGCUGCUCCCUCCACGGCUCCUCCGUUGCGCGGCCGGAAGGAGCCGCGGCCGGCGUGGGACGUUGCUCGCCGCCGCCCUCCGAGGCGUGCCGUCGGGAACUGGGCCACCGACAGGGCCACAGUGCGGAGCAGCGCUGUUGGUGGGCGUGCCCUGGGCGACCGCGGCACGGAGACGGCGCCGUCCGGCCACCAGUUUGGCCGGCGAAGGAGCUCUGCCCGCGCCGGCGCUCGCCCUGACGCCUUCCGCGCGGCGGCCUCUUCUUCCACUCCGCCAUAGAUUCUUGUGUUGCACGAAUACGGCAACCUCGAGUGACGGCGAAGCGUCGCCUUCGCCUGAUGGCGGCAAGAACCCGUUGGCCCCGAUCGUCGAGCUGUGGCGCCGGACGGUGCAACCGCUAGGGGAUUACGGAUUCGGGAAGCGCAGCGUGUGGGAAGGCGGCGUGGGACUCUUCAUGGUCUCCGGGGCGGUCCUGCUGGCGCUCGCGCUCGCGUGGCUCCGGGGUUUCCAGCUGCGGUCGCGGUUCCGCAAGUACAACGCCGUGUUCGAGUUCAGCCAGGCAUGCGGGAUUUGCGUGGGCACGCCCCUCAGGAUACGCGGGGUCACCAUUGGGAGCGUCGUCCGUGUCGACUCUUCGCUCAGGAGUAUUGAUGCAUAUGUUGAGGUUGAAGAUGAUAAAAUUAUCGUGCCCCGUAAUUCAUUGGUUGAGGUGAAUCAAUCUGGUCUCCUAAUGGAGACAAUGAUUGACAUUACACCAAAAGAUCCACUCCCUACACCUUCAGUUGGUCCACUUGACGCAGACUGUUCCAAAGAAGGCUUAAUCCUUUGUGACAAAGAGAGAAUGAAAGGACAUCAAGGAGUAAGCUUAGAUGCACUGGUUGGUAUAUUUACCCGUCUAGGAAGAGACAUGGAGGAAAUUGGUGUUCAAAAAAGCUUCAAGUUGGCGGAAAAGGUUGCAUCUAUAAUGGAAGAAGCACAACCUCUCCUUUCACGGAUUGAAGCAUUAGCUGAAGAAGUUCAACCUUUGCUCUCGGAGGUGCGUGAGAGUGAUCUGGUGAAGGAUGUGGAAACCAUAGCUAAAGGUCUGGCUGAGGCAUCCGGCGAUUUAAGAAGGUUGAAGUCUUCCAUGCUUACCCCUGAGAACAGUGAUCUAAUCAAGCAGUCUAUUUUCACCCUUAUAUUUACUUUGAAGAACAUUGAGAGUAUCAGCUCAGACAUCUCUGGUUUCACUGGCGAUGAGGCGACACGACAGAACAUCAAGCUGCUGAUUAAGUCACUUAGCAGACUAUUGUGA